rnacentral:rRNA from 1 species
UACGAGGGGGGCGAGCGUUGUUCGGAAUUAUUGGGCGUAAAGGGUGCGUAGGCGGUUUGGUAAGUCUGAUGUGAAAUCUAUGGGCUCAACUCAUAGUCUGCAUCGGAAACUGCCGGGCUUGAGUGUGGGAGAGGUGAGUGGAAUUCCUGGUGUAGCGGUGAAAUGCGUAGAUAUCAGGAGGAACACCUGUGGCGAAAGCGGCUCACUGGACCAUAACUGACGCUGAUGCACGAAAAGCGUAGGGGAGCAAACAGG